AGAGUUUGAUCCUGGCUCAGAUUGAACGCUGGCGGCAUGCCUUACACAUGCAAGUCGAACGGUAACGCGGGGGCAACCCUGGCGACGAGUGGCGAACGGGUGAGUAAUACAUCGGAACAUAUCCAGUAGCGGGGGAUAACCUAUCGAAAGAUGGACUAAUACCGCAUACGAUCUACGGAUGAAAGUAGGGGACCGCAAGGCCUUGCACUAUUGGAGUGGCCGAUGUCGGAUUAGCUAGUUGGUGGGGUAAAAGCUUACCAAGGCGACGAUCCGUAGCUGGUCUGAGAGGACGAUCAGCCACACUGGAACUGAGACACGGUCCAGACUCCUACGGGAGGCAGCAGUGGGAAUUUUGGACAAUGGGCGCAAGCCUGAUCCAGCCAUGCCGCGUGAGUGAAGAAGGCCUUCGGGUUGUAAAGCUCUUUCGGUGAAGACGAAACGGUUCAUGCUAAUAACGUGAACUAAUGACGGUACUCACAGAAGAAGCACCGGCUAACUACGUGCCAGCAGCCGCGGUAAUACGUAGGGUGCAGGCGUUAAUCGGAAUUACUGGGCGUAAAGCGUGCGCAGGCGGUUUGCUAAGACAGGUGUGAAAUCCCCGGGCUUAACCUGGGAAUUGCGCUUGUAACUGGCAAGCUAGAGUGUGGCAGAGGGGGGUGGGAUUCCACGUGUAGCAGUGAAAUGCGUAGAUAUGUGGAGGAACACCGAUGGCGAAGGCAGCCCCCUGGGUUAACACUGACGCUCAUGCACGAAAGCGUGGGGAGCAAACAGGAUUAGAUACCCUGGUAGUCCACGCCCUAAACUAUGUCAACUAGCUGUCGGGGAAGAAAUUCCUUGGUAACGAAGCUAACGCGUGAAGUUGACCGCCUGGGGAGUACGGCCGCAAGGUUAAAACUCAAAGGAAUUGACGGGGACCCGCACAAGCGGUGGAUUAUGUGGAUUAAUUCGAUACAACGCGAAAAACCUUACCUACCCUUGACAUGCUAGGAAGCCCGCAGAGAUGUGGGUGUGCCCGAAAGGGAACCUAGACACAGGUGCUGCAUGGCUGUCGUCAGCUCGUGUCGUGAGAUGUUGGGUUAAGUCCCGCAACGAGCGCAACCCUUGCCAUUAGUUGCUACAUUCAGUUGGGCACUCUAAUGGGACCGCCGGUGACAAACCGGAGGAAGGUGGGGAUGACGUCAAGUCCUCAUGGCCCUUAUGGGUAGGGCUUCACACGUAAUACAAUGGUCGGUACAGAGGGCUGCCAACCCGCAAGGGGGAGCUAAUCCCAGAAAGCCGAUCGUAGUCCGGAUUGUAGUCUGCAACUCGACUGCAUGAAGCCGGAAUCGCUAGUAAUCGCGGAUCAGCAUGUCGCGGUGAAUACGUUCCCGGGUCUUGUACACACCGCCCGUCACACCAUGGGAGUGGGUUCCACCAGAAGUAGUUAGCCUAACCGCAAGGAGGGCGAUUACCACGGUGAGAUUCAUGACUGGGGUGAAGUCGUAACAAGGUA
rnacentral:rRNA from 1 species